rnacentral:rRNA from 1 species
UACGAAGGGGGCUAGCGUUGCUCGGAAUUACUGGGCGUAAAGCGCACGUAGGCGGAUUGUUAAGUCGGGGGUGAAAUCCUGGAGCUCAACUCCAGAACUGCCUUCGAUACUGGCGAUCUCGAGUCCGGGAGAGGUGAGUGGAACUGCGAGUGUAGAGGUGAAAUUCGUAGAUAUUCGCAAGAACACCAGUGGCGAAGGCGGCUCACUGGCCCGGUACUGACGCUGAGGUACGAAAGCGUGGGGAGCGAACAGG